ensembl:snoRNA
AUAAAUGUUUUCUAAGUGUCUAAUGAUGAAUUUCAUAGGGCAGAUUCUGAGGUGAAAACUUAAUUCAUCAUUGAUUGUCCUAUUAUGAAAUCUGAAGACGCUUGAAAACUU